rnacentral:sRNA from 1 species
AGGUACUUUGAACUCAAGUAAACAAAAGGGAAUAUUUUCUCGUUGAUACUGGAGACUGCACAACAAUGGGGCCACGAAAAAAAAGUGUGAAAACAUGUAUCAUGAAUAAUGAAAUUCCAGAAGAAAUGACAGCAGAUGAAACAAAGGACUAUAUGAAUCAACUUUCACAUGAAGUACUUUGCCAUAUUUUUAGGUACCUGCCUCUGCAGGAUAUCAUGUGUAUGGAAUGUCUUUCCCGGAAACUAAAGGAAGCAGUGACCCUAUAUCUGCGAGUUGUGAGAGUUGUAGAUCUCUGUGCAGGGCGGUGGUGGGAAUACAUGCCAAGUGGCUUUACAGAUUCCAGUUUUCUAACACUAUUAAAGAAGAUGCCAGAUGUUGAACAGCUAUAUGGCCUUCACCCUCGAUACCUUGAGAGGCGAAGAGUAAGGGGCCAUGAGGCUUUUAGCAUUCCAGGAGUCCUGGAAGCUUUGCAGGCAUGCCCAAACUUAGUGGGUGUGGAAACUUCUCAUUUGGAGUUGGUAGAAUCCAUUUGGACAUAUAUGCCCCAUGUUCAUAUUUUGGGGAAAUUUCGUAAUCGUAAUGGAGCUUUUCCAAUUCCUCCUGAAAAUAAACUGAAAAUUCCUGUAGGAGCCAAAAUCCAAACUUUACAUUUAGUUGGGGUGAAUGUUCCUGAAAUUCCUUGUAUCCCAAUGCUAAGGCACCUUUAUAUGAAGUGGGUAAGACUUACUAAACCACAGCCAUUUAAAGACUUCCUUUGUAUCAGCUUAAGAACUUUCGUCAUGAGGAACUGUGCAGGACCCACAAAUUCCUUGAAAUAUGUCCCUUUAGUAACAGGCUUAGCCUCUGCCCGAAACUUGGAACACUUAGAAAUGGUUCGAGUUCCUUUCCUUGGAGGUCUUAUCCAACAUGUUGUUGAAGACAGUUGGAGAUCAGGUGGUUUUAGAAAUUUGCACACUAUUGUUCUGGGAGCUUGCAAAAAUGCUCUUGAAGUAGAUCUUGGUUACCUCAUCAUUACUGCUGCCCGUAGGUA